GCUCAGAUUGAACGCUGGCGGCAGGCCUAACACAUGCAAGUCGAGCGGUAGCACAGAGAGCUUGCUCUCGGGUGACGAGCGGCGGACGGGUGAGUAAUGUCUGGGAAACUGCCUGAUGGAGGGGGAUAACUACUGGAAACGGUAGCUAAUACCGCAUAAUGUCGCAAGACCAAAGUGGGGGACCUUCGGGCCUCAUGCCAUCAGAUGUGCCCAGAUGGGAUUAGCUAGUAGGUGGGGUAACGGCUCACCUAGGCGACGAUCCCUAGCUGGUCUGAGAGGAUGACCAGCCACACUGGAACUGAGACACGGUCCAGACUCCUACGGGAGGCAGCAGUGGGGAAUAUUGCACAAUGGGCGCAAGCCUGAUGCAGCCAUGCCGCGUGUGUGAAGAAGGCCUUCGGGUUGUAAAGCACUUUCAGCGGGGAGGAAGGCGGUGAGGUUAAUAACCUUGUCGAUUGACGUUACCCGCAGAAGAAGCACCGGCUAACUCCGUGCCAGCAGCCGCGGUAAUACGGAGGGUGCAAGCGUUAAUCGGAAUUACUGGGCGUAAAGCGCACGCAGGCGGUCUGUCAAGUCGGAUGUGAAAUCCCCGGGCUCAACCUGGGAACUGCAUUCGAAACUGGCAGGCUAGAGUCUUGUAGAGGGGGGUAGAAUUCCAGGUGUAGCGGUGAAAUGCGUAGAGAUCUGGAGGAAUACCGGUGGCGAAGGCGGCCCCCUGGACAAAGACUGACGCUCAGGUGCGAAAGCGUGGGGAGCAAACAGGAUUAGAUACCCUGGUAGUCCACGCCGUAAACGAUGUCGAUUUGGAGGUUGUGCCCUUGAGGCGUGGCUUCCGGAGCUAACGCGUUAAAUCGACCGCCUGGGGAGUACGGCCGCAAGGUUAAAACUCAAAUGAAUUGACGGGGGCCCGCACAAGCGGUGGAGCAUGUGGUUUAAUUCGAUGCAACGCGAAGAACCUUACCUGGUCUUGACAUCCACAGAACUUAGCAGAGAUGCUUUGGUGCCUUCGGGAACUGUGAGACAGGUGCUGCAUGGCUGUCGUCAGCUCGUGUUGUGAAAUGUUGGGUUAAGUCCCGCAACGAGCGCAACCCUUAUCCUUUGUUGCCAGCGGUUCGGCCGGGAACUCAAAGGAGACUGCCAGUGAUAAACUGGAGGAAGGUGGGGAUGACGUCAAGUCAUCAUGGCCCUUACGACCAGGGCUACACACGUGCUACAAUGGCAUAUACAAAGAGAAGCGACCUCGCGAGAGCAAGCGGACCUCAUAAAGUAUGUCGUAGUCCGGAUUGGAGUCUGCAACUCGACUCCAUGAAGUCGGAAUCGCUAGUAAUCGUAGAUCAGAAUGCUACGGUGAAUACGUUCCCGGGCCUUGUACACACCGCCCGUCACACCAUGGGAGUGGGUUGCAAAAGAAGUAGGUAGCUUAACCUUCGGGAGGGCGCUUACCACU
rnacentral:rRNA from 1 species